CCUACGGGAGGCAGCAGUGAGGAAUAUUGGUCAAUGGGCUUACGCCUGAACCAGCCAAGUCGCGUGAGGGAAGACUGCACUAUGUGUUGUAAACCUCUUUUGUCAGGGAGCAACGCCGGCUACGUGUAGCCGGACUGAGAGUACCUGAAGAAAAAGCAUCGGCUAACUCCGUGCCAGCAGCCGCGGUAAUACGGAGGAUGCGAGCGUUAUCCGGAUUUAUUGGGUUUAAAGGGUGCGUAGGCGGAAUGCCAAGUCAGCGGUAAAAUCGCGGGGCUCAACCUCGCUCCGCCGUUGAAACUGGCGUGCUUGAGUGGGCGAGAAGUAUGCGGAAUGCGUGGUGUAGCGGUGAAAUGCAUAGAUAUCACGCAGAACUCCGAUUGCGAAGGCAGCAUACCGGCGCCCAACUGACGCUGAAGCACGAAAGCGUGGGUAUCGAACAGGAUUAGAUACCCGGGUAGUC
rnacentral:rRNA from 1 species